GGGCAUAAUUCGGGUACAACCCGAAAAAACACGGGUUCGACCCGUUUUGACCCGAAUCGGGUCGGAUUCGAACCAAAACGGGUGGAACCCGUUCAAUUGCUGGCCAAACAUAAUUUAAACGGAUCGGGUUUCGGGUUGGUAGUUUAAAAUUCGAAUCCGACCCGAAACCCGAACUCACAUAUAUAUAUGUAAAGUAUGUUUAGGGUUCCGUCUUUCAUAUCAGAUCUUUCUCAUUCAUUGUUUCCGCCGCUCACCCCUCUCAAAUUUUCACUCUCUCUCUCAGAGCUUUUCUACCAUUCUCACCCCACAAAAUCUCUCCAUCUCUCAACCACUCAACCCCGCCUCCGUUCCGCCUCUCUACGGCUCUGCCUCUCACUCUUCUCGCAGUUUCCCAACCUCUCCGUGACUUCUUCUCCGGCUCUGUCAUCUCGUCUCUCGAGUCUCUCCUACACCUUCGUCAAAUCGUUGCUCAACCUGGAAACCCUAGAUCUCUUCCAAGGCUUCGACUUGUGACCGUUGUCCGCCGGUAUGCUACUCAAUGGCUCGUCAAAUCGUCAAAUCCUCCAGCUUAGAAAAUUUAAUGGGUCCUAAUUACAAGACAAAUGAAGGAUCAUUGGAUCAAUUUGCUUGUUCAAAAGGGGGAUCAAACUAAAUCACUUGGCAUUUCCUCCCAAUUUUAUUUCACUCACCUUUAUUUAAUUUUUGUUUUUUGGUAAUUGUAAUUAACUUAGUAAAAUGAUUUAAUGUUAUCAAUGUUGUUUACCCUUUUGGGUUGUGAUGUAAUAUUGUAAUUUUGUAAUUAUUGUUUUGUUGUAACUAUUGUGUUUAUUUAUUUAUUUAUUUCGUUUA